AGUCCUACAGAUCCAAAACUACAGGAUCUCCAUGACCCAGGGCAGCAACAGGAUAUUUGAGGUGAGUCUUGUAGGAUUAUGGUUCCUUUGUCUGCUCCACCACAGGGUAUGGCUGCUGGGGUGGGGGUGGGGCAGGAUGUGGGAGUUUUGACUGUGCUUACCUCACAGAAGUGAUAUUAUUUAAUUUGUGAUCUGAAAGAUGGAACCCCGAGUCUGGCAGUUGCUUCUGAAGGGGAUCACGCACUGUUACAACUUGGAAGGACAAGUUGGGAACAUGUAGAAGCACAAAGCAAAAGUUUCCUGUAGCUGGGUGUUUAGGCUUCCUAUAGCCAUGGGAGAGCUUGGUGCUGGGUCUGAGUAAGGUGCUUUCAGUUGACUCAGAAAUGCAGAAGUCAGUUAAAGCCUGAAGAUGCUUAAUUGAUCUGACUAAGACUUCUGAUAUAUGUGUUGAGUAGAGAUUAAGAGGAUGGACAUUCUUAUCUUGUUCUACAUCUUAGAAAGGAAGCUUCAACUUUUCCUUAUUGAAUAUGGUAUAUCAGCUGUGGGUUUGCCAUAUGUGAACCUUAUUAUGUUGAGGUACAUUUGCUCUACACCAAGUUGUUAAAAAUUUUUAUCAUGAGGUAAUUGAAUUUUGUCAAAUGCCUUUUCCGCAGCUUGUUGAAAUGCAAUAUGAAUUUCAUCAUUCGUCCUGUUAAUGUGAUGUUCUACACUCACAGCUUUAUGUAUGUGGAAUUAUUAUUGCAUCUGUAUGAUGACUCCCAUUUGAUCCCAGUGAAUUAUCCUUUUAAUGUGCUUCUUAAUUCAGUCUGCUAGUAUUUUAUUGGAGAUUUUUGCCUCUAUGUUCAUCAGUGAUACUGACUCUGCAUGGUCGGGGGUUUCUUUUCCUACUAUGGUUUCUCUCUCCUUUGUCCCUCCUAUCUUCCCUCCUGCUUGCCUAAUUUACAUUUUUAGGCUUUGUCAUGAAGCUUAAAAUAGAAGGAUUUCCUUCUCCUCCUCCUCCUCCUCCUCCUCCUCCUCCUCCUGCUCCUGCUCCUUCUCCUCUUCUCUUCAUUUUCUUGAAAUAUAGAUGUUGUUGUUAUUGAAACAAUUUCUCUUUUCCCUUCUUUUAUUUCAGGAUAUUGCAUAUGCUAGGGAAGAUGCUAAACUUAGCAACAUCUCCAACUUUUUGGUUUUCUCUCUGAGGCUAGCAUCUAUUCCCUCUUAGAGCUAUCUCUUCUGUUUCUCAUAUAACUUUUUGUGUGUUGUGUUUCUUGUUUCUUCUUUUUGGUUUUGGUCUUAAGAUUUUUUUCAGUGUCCUCUUUGAUUACUUGAUUAUUUCUUCUAAGACAUGUAGAUUAAUUUCCAUAUGAUUUAAAAAUUCUGUUAAAUUAUGUUUUAAAUUUUAUAACUAUUUAAAAAAUCUAAGAUGAAAUAUACCAUUGGUUUAGUAUUGUCCUUGAGAAAAUGAUUCUUUUGGUUGCUAGCUUAGUGUUCUGUGUUUUUCCCUCCUUUGAACAAUUAGACUACACUUUUCUCAUGCACUAUGGAAGGGUGAGAUCUCCAGGAAUGGUUAGAUAAUUCGUAUCUUCUGAAUUGUGGUAUCUCCUUGAAGCUAGAAUACUGAUGGAGAGUGGACUUGCCUUUCAUUCUAUCUACGGUCUCUCUGUCACAUGGCAAAGCUAGAGCGAUGGGGUAACAGAGAACACUACACGCCUCUCACUCAGCUUGAAGGGGCUGUUUCUUGCCCUUGCACUGUUGGUACUCUAGCAUUUAAUGCUCAUGGACUGAAAAGUAUAAUGAAAAUAUUUGAAUUGAAAUGUAUAGUGCAUAUUUCCUCACCAAAAUUUUCAUACAUAUUUGCUGUUACCAAAGAAAUUCUGGUGAUUUUUAACUUGAUGACUGGAUGGGGCUUGGUGUCAGUUGCAGGUCUUUGUGCUUCUUCUCUUUUGGCUUGAUGGAUUAUGGAAGGAAAGAUUUGCCUCUUUAGCACUGGGUCUUGGGAUCGCUGUACAUCCAUGAAUGACAGAACGUUGACAGAGUGACAAAAUUAGUGAUUAAUAAAUACACAUACAUGCACAGACACACAUGCAAACACACGAGUGCACACAUGCACAUGCACAAGUAAACAUAUGUACAUGCACAGACACACAAACAUUUUAUUUUAGUCUUUCAGUUAUGUACUGAAAGAAGCCUGUUUAAGCAGACCCACGUGCUGUAUGUGAUUUCAUAUCAACCCCAGAAGUUGUCACCUCUGUGUGCAUCCCUCUAGAGGGUUUUUUUCACUUGUCUGUUUUGACCUGUGGGUACUCCCUUGGAAGUGGUGCAAUAAGUUAGUAGUAUUGUGGACCUUAUUUUAAAGGCACCAGAUUGUCUCCUCGUUAUUCAGGUUCUCAGAUAUUUCCUUUGGCUUUGUUGUUAAUUCUGCAUUUUUAAGCAGAGAACUUUCAGACAAGCAUUCUUACCUUAAGACGAAAGCACACACAACACAACACCAACAAAGUUCAACAUACCAACGGUGUUUUAAAAGUCUAACAAACAGAUCUACUUGCAGCUUUAGUAAAAAGCCUCAUAUAUUCAGUUUUGAUUCAGGACUCACUCACAAACCCUCUUCACCACCCACUAGAGCUGCAUCAAGAAACAGAUUUGAAGAUUGACAACAGGAGUUAAGAAAUCAUGCAUAGCUUUCUCACUAGGGCCUUAGAGCUUAAGAAAGUUGCUAUUUAACCGAGUAUAUGCUAAAUGUCAUGUAUAAGUUAGUAUGCGUCAGUCCUCAACACAACUUUCUUCAGUUAGGAAAGUAAAAGAGAGCCAUCCUACAGCAACGUAGGCUGGAGGAACUUACAGUUGCUUGAUGCACACUCAUAGCCUCUUGAACAAAUAUUGUAUUCAGACAAAUAAGAUCCAACACAUCUUAAGACCAAAACCAACUGUAGUUAUGGUUCUAUUGACCUGGAAUUUAAAAGGCUGAAUUUCUUUCUCUCAUUUACCUUUUUACUGAAAAA
rnacentral:lncRNA from 1 species